rnacentral:rRNA from 1 species
UACGGAGGGUGCGAGCAUUAAUCGGAUUUAUUGGGCGUAAAGGGCGCGUAGGCGGAAAUAUAAGUCAGAUGUGAAAUCCCGGGGCUCAACCCCGGAACGGCAUUUGAAACUGUAUAUCUUGAGGGUAGGCGGAGAAAAUGGAAUUCCACAAGUAGCGGUGAAAUGCGUAGAUAUGUGGAAGAACACCAGUGGCGAAGGCGGUUUUCUAGCUUAAACCUGACGCUAAUGCGCGAAAGCAAGGGGAUCAAACAGG